GUCCCUGUAGCUCAAUGGAUACAGCAUUGGACUUCUAAUCUAAAGAUAGUGGGUUCGAAUCCCACCUGGGAUG